UUCUAUUUUGUGUAACCAGAUGACCUUAAGAAUUGAUUGUAUUAUCACUUAUAUUAGUCUUGCAUUAUCUUUAUCGAUUAUAUUAGCCUUAAUUACCAAUUAUAUUAUUAAAUUUACAAUGUAUGUGAGUGAUGCAGGCCUGUGGAAUCGCACUGAUCAUAUUUAGUCAUUUUAGCUGAUGAAACUAUGUAAGCCACAUUGCAAACAAAUACAUAAAGGUCACCAUGUUUUGUACGACCUUUAUGAGUAAAACUCGCGAUACUGUUAUUCCAGUACCUGCAUCACCCAUAAAUGAUUGGCAGUUGGGACAGUUUUGUUACCAAAAAAUGUACACUACUGCAGCUGCGUUUAUUAUAGCGCAUUAGUGUCAAUAAUGUUAAUCACGUACCCAUUUCAUAUAUAUAUACGUUUGUAAAUACAAACAAAUAUCAUAAUUGAUACACAUAAUAAUUUUUUAAAUAUACAUUAUAAUACGCUAGACAGAUAAAUAUACUUAAGCUUGUACAUUAUAAAAUAGAAUUUAUAGAAUGUGCCCUGCGUGGCACAGUAGGAAAUGUCUUGUUAAAUUUUGAGGGAGCUUAGCCAGGGCCCCAUCCCUGACAGCUGCCCUAUAGUGUACUUUAUUAUUACUAUCAUUAUUGUUAUAGAAUAGGUUCUGUGAAAUAAAAUAUAUAUAUAUUUAAAAAAAAAAAAAAAAAAAAAAAAAAAAAAAUACGUUUGUAAAUUUGUCAAAAGGAGAAGAGAAUAGAACCUGGUAUUGUAUUUGAAUGUUGCUGAGUUUAUGUUAGAAAUAAACUUUGAAACCAACGCGAAUUGAGUAUAGUUAAGACUUUGUUGGUAGAAGUCAGAGUAAUAAGACUUUGCUAGUAUAAGUCUUCAGGUUAAGACUUUGUUGGAAGAAGUCUUAAACAAAUAAUCCGGUUACAUUUGAUUUGUUUUUUUAUCGAGCUUCCAUAGUUUUAUAGCAAAUGACCUAAAUUAACGAUCAGCCAACACAGGAUAUAGUUCGUUAGAUUUUUAUCGAAUAGAUGAUCGAGAACAAGAUAUACGACAAUAUAAAAUGCAAUUAUUCAAUUUCGAAGGAAGGUGAAAUAGGUGUCAAAUAAAUGUAAUUCAAAGCGUCAAGUCAACUGAAUUGAAGUUACGAGGAGCGGAGUAAUCGACAUCCGGGUUGUGAUUUGGUCGUUCAGCACAAAGAUGGAGAAAACGCUGUUUUAUUUGAAGUUGAAAACACAAUUGUUGAACACAGAAUUGGACAUAAAUUCAGAGGAUCUGAGUGAAAUUACGGAGGAUGGAUGGAUCAAGUUGAUGUUCAGCUCUUGGUCAUGUUUUUCCAUGGUUUGGAAUGGAACGACGGCAUGUUCAUCACCAGGCCUCGUGGCUGUAGCGACAUAUUUAGAUGACGUGCAGGGGAAGAAUACAUCCUUUUGUCACCUGGGGCCUCUUCAGAUCCUAUACCCCCCCCCCCCCCCUGGAAAUGUUUUUGCUGUGUUUCCUGCCUCAAUGUCACAUACUCGAGACCAUUUUCAUCAUUGUGGAAAUCAAAGGAAUCACGACGCAACUGGUGAUGGAAUUCCAGGCCGCGUGUAACAAAAUGGAUCGAAAGGUGAUACCAGACACACUGUCGGAGGACAAGUGGAGAGUAGGAGGCUGUCUGUAGAGGAUAUCUUAUCAAGAUCUGGAGUAUUUAUGAUCUGCUUGUGUUUAGUGGGCCUUGAUGCACCAAUUUUGGUCAUAGUUUUCAACAUUCCAUCUAAUGUGUGAUUGGUUGACUUGAAUUCCUUAUCCCGCACAAUGUCAAUAGAGCAACAUAUGUCCUGCAGAUGCCUAUUUAUUGCUGUUCUGAUAUUUUUAGUGUGUUCUUGUGGUAAUAGCCACUUUGUACUUCCAUUAUGUAUCUUGAUUUACUGGAUCCUUUCGGUUUUGCCUCGCAGAAGAAUUUACGUAGCUUGUUAGCCAGAUCAUCAGUUUGCACCGUUUCGAAAUCUAUUGGAAUACCAUAAACCUCUAUGUGCCAAUCUAAAAUUAUAUAACACAUUGUUUAGCUUUUAAAAUUCUUAUAUUUUGUUUGGAUUACACGGAGGGGUUUUAUACUCUUUAUUUGAAUCAACAAGAUUUUUUCUUUUUGUUUUAAUUUUUUUCUAUUUAGACCUAGUCAUCAAUUUUUUUCUUCCGUGUUUCUGAAAUUUUAUUCAAUUCAUGAAAUUCUUGUCUGUUUACAAAAUAAACUAUAUAAAACUGUU